CAGCAGCCGCGGGAAUACGUAGGAUGCGAGCGUUAAUCGGAAUUACUGGGCGUAAAGCGUGCGCAGGCGGUUUUGUAAGACAGGCGUGAAAUCCCCGGGCUCAACCUGGGAAUGGCGCUUGUGACUGCAAAGCUAGAGUGCGGCAGAGGGGGAUGGAAUUCCGCGUGUAGCAGUGAAAUGCGUAGAUAUGCGGAGGAACACCGAUGGCGAAGGCAAUCCCCUGGGCCUGCACUGACGCUCAUGCACGAAAGCGUGGGGAGCAAACAGGAUUAGAUACCCCUGUAGUCCCUGUCUCUUAUAA
rnacentral:rRNA from 1 species